rnacentral:rRNA from 1 species
GACGAACGCUGGCGGCGUGCUUAACACAUGCAAGUCGAACGGCAAGGCCCUGCUUUUGUGGGGUUCUCGAGUGGCGAACGGGUGAGUAACACGUGAGUAACCUGCCCUUGAUUUUGGGAUAACUUCAGGAAACUGGGGCUAAUCCCAGAUCGGAGCUCCUGUUGCAUUGUGGGGGUUGGAAAGUUUCGGCGGUUGGGGAUGGACUCGCGGCUUAUCAGCUUGUUGGUGGGGUAGUGGCUUACCAAGGCUUGGACGGAUAGCCCGCCUGAGAGGGUGACCGGCGACAAUGGGACUGAGAGACGGCCCAGAGGGCUACGGGGGGCAGCAGUGGGAAACAUGGCACAAUGGGCGCGAGUCUGAUGCAGAAACGCCGCGGGCGGAAUGACGGCCUUCUGGUUGUAAACCGCUGUCGCCUGUGACGAAGCGUGAGUGACGGUAAUGAGUAAAGAAGCACCGGCUAACUACGUG